CCUACGGGAGGCAGCAGUGGGGGAUAUUGCACAAUGGGGGAAACCCUGAUGCAGCGACGCCGCGUGGGCGAAGAAGUUUUUCGGUAUGUAAAGCCCUAUCAGCAGGGAAGAAGAAAUGACGGUACCUGAGUAAGAAGCACCGGCUAAAUACGUGCCAGCAGCCGCGGUAAUACGUAUGGUGCAAGCGUUAUCCGGAUUUACUGGGUGUAAAGGGAGCGCAGGCGGCACGGCAAGCCUGAUGUGAAAGGCCGCGGCCCAACCGCGGGACUGCAUUGGAAACUACCGGGCUGGAGUGCCGUAGAGGUAGGCGGAAUUCGUAGUGUAGCGGUGAAAUGCGUAGAUAUUAGGAGGAACACCAGUGGCGAAGGCAGCCUACUGGACGGUGACUGACGCUGAGGCUCGAAAGCGUGGGGAGCAAACAGGAUUAGAUACCCCUGUAGUC
rnacentral:rRNA from 1 species